rnacentral:lncRNA from 1 species
GGAAAUAAUGAAUUGGGUGGGCCUAACUCUGAUACCAUGAUAAAGAAUUGGACCUUGGGCCUAACUCAACCUCAAAAGCUAGCUCAUGAUGGCGGAUUGUCCAAGACAAUAUAAGGAGAUCAAGAACCCCUUUAACCCUCCAUUGUGGGACUCCAACACCUUAAAAUAGUACAGAGUCAGUAAUAAAAGAGUACAAAUCUCAAUGAUGUAUAGCUAUUUCAAGUCAAACAACCAAGACAAUUUUAUAAUAUAAUGAAUAAAUUUGCAAACAUACCUAGAUGUAUCUAUCCUAAUAUUUAAGGAAGCUUGACAAACGAAGGAAAUAGCCUUCUGUCAUUACAAUCUAGUUUAGAAUUAGAAAAUUUGGGUUUAGUUAUUCGCAGAUAAAAUUUUAGAAAUUUCAAGAUAAGCUAUAUUUAGAUGAAUUUCUGGUAUUGUGUGUUCUAGGUAAAUCUAGUAUUUUAUGGGAUAAUGGUUCAUGGAUUUGAGAUGAUAUCAUAUCAGCUAAAAGAUUAAGGAGUCCAUAAAAACUUUAGGAAUGAAAUUUGGGUUAGUAGAAUUACCGAUAUAGUAUUUGACUUGAAAGAGUUAGUUCAUAAUAUUAAAACCUGAAAAUAAUGUGGUAAGAAUACCAAAAUAGGAACAAAUGGUGUUUCUGUAUCACUCCACUUUUUAGCAGACUGGAGGGUUGCUAUAGUGGUCCUACUAUAGGUGGAUUUGAACUAAUAUUAUGGAAGUCUAGUUAUGUUAGUUCUAGAAUGACAGAAGGAUCUUAAUAUAGCUAGAAUUAGGUCGAAUAAUAAUCUUGAUGGAGUAAAAUGCCAAUUUAUGGGUUAAACAUUAUUUUUAUUCUAAAAAUGUUCAAAGGUCGAAGUAGGGCAAAAACAACCAAUUUUUUUUUAGUUUCACCUGGGUUCUACCAUUGAGGUAAGUUAUUACACCAAUCUAACAUAGUUUUAAUCUCGAAAUCCUUAGAAUUUAUAAGGAUUGAUCAUGGUUGGGAUGGUGGUGUAACCCUAAGUGGAAAAACUGAUAUGAUCUGGCUAUAAAGAGAUAAGAAUUACUUAUUAAUGGCUUAAAAGUGUUUAAUUAAGUUUUCUAAGCUAAAAGUAGCAUUAAUAGUGUUAAAUUAUGGAGAAUUUGAUAGAAUAAGGGUAGAAAAUUCUAAUGUGAUGAAAAUAUUCAAGAACUUUGGUUAAAACCAAUUAAUUUAGGUAUUUAUGCCUAGAAUGGUAAGAUAAAUGGUUUAAUAUUUUUUGUAAAUUGUUGUUAACCGAGAUCAAGCCAAGGCUACAAGAAAAGGCAAGUAUCACACGAUUUAAGUCAUUGGAAGAUUGGUUCAAUGUAGGUCAUGGUGCUAAUGGUUGUAUUAGAAUUAGACUCAACUGAUUGUAUAUGUGCCACUUAAUUAAAUAUAUGUUUAGUUAUUCGAAAUUAUCCUUGUAAUUGGUGUUAAAUGAUUGAACAUUAACAAUAAAUGUUUUACCAAUGGUGAAUCUUCUAGAUAAUUGUGCUCAAGAAUAACCUAUUAUUUUUUUUGUGAAUUAAGAGUUGCUAAUGUAGCAUGCAAUUGUAUUGGUGGAUUUAAGUAAAAUAAGAGUGGGAAAACACUUGGUUUGAGAUAAGAGUGACGAGGUAAUUAUGUGACAUAUGAUAUUGAUACAUGAACUAAGCUUGUCCUCUGCAGUUCAAUGCUAAUGGGAAACUACAACUCACAUUGUAUUUAUGUAUAUGAUAACAUGGAGAGUUUGGUGGUUCCUUGAAUGGACUGGAUAUAUAUAUUUCAAAUAGGUUAUUUGAGUUCCUUAUGUGAACUACUUGUGUUUAUAAUAAUUUUAUUGCCUCAUGUGGAUUGGUUCUUAAUUUGAUAUCCAUUAUUAUUGACUUGGCUUAACUAUUUUAUGAGGAUGAUGAGUUAAUGAGGAUUUUUUUAAUAUAAAUAGCAACUGACUUGGUUAUAAGUUUCUUUUAUUUGUUAUUAUUGAAUUGAGUAUUACAUGUCAGAUAAGAGCCUUUGUUUCUUGAUUUGUCUUGGUUGGUGUCAAUAUUCCUAUUUUUAUUAUUGUUUGAAUAUACAUGAUUUCUUGAUAUGCUUAUAACUUGUUUACAAUUAUUUUAUUUUGUGUACAUGUCAAUUAAGUUGGGUUGACCUAUCAUACCUUCCAGUGCAUAGUGAUUUUGUACAAAUACUAUCAAAUGCACUUAUUUUUUAAGUGUAUAGCAAAUUUUAGCGGCUUCUAUAAGACCUUACUUGUAGACGGUAGUGUGACAUCUGGUCAAAUGGUAAACUUUCAUCUUCCAGGAAACCAUGGAUCUCUCUAUCGUGAUACUGUCCUUAUUGAUUUACACAAAGACACUUUAUUUGGUUUUGUUACCUUGUGGUUUUAAUAGACUUAUUAGAUAGAAUUCUGGUACAUUGACUUUCAAUUCUUGGGGUCAUUGUUAGGACUAGUAUUUUGUUAUGUUUUCACAAUUGUAUUGAAUAUUAAAGUAUUAGCCUUUUAUUGUUGAAUUAUGCUUUGUCCUAAUUUGUUAGUUGAUGAUAUUGAUAUUUGGAUUAGUUUCUUCCAUUGGAGAAUAAGGGUGGGUAGCUUAGAUAGAACAAACACAUCAGUGUCAUCAUUAAAAAGGAGUAUCUACUCACUUUCCUACUUUUUCCAUUCUCUAUCCAUUUCACUACCACAUAUUAUGAAAGAACCUUCAAGGGAUAUAGCAUGAACAUGGAUUAUAUUAAAUAUAAGUAUUGACCUAAAUUUUCACUAUAUAUAUGAGGAAUGAAUGGAGCGUCAUAUUUUAGACCAUGAGAAUAAUGAAUAAAGGGGACAUCUAUAGUAUCAUGACUUUUUCAUCCUAGCAUUUCCACCAAGAUUUGGUCCAUGGAAUAAGGUAAAAUAGGAAUGAAUACUCACUACAACAAAUGCAUAAAACAUGAAGAGAGAGAGAGGCAUUCUGAGCUUAGAAAAGAUAUAGCCACACAUUUUUUCAUAUGUACACAUACAUAAGACAUGGUGUAAAGAAAUUAUUAGCAUGGACAAUGUGAGACAUCUGGUCUCUACCUAGACAUGACAUAACAUGAUUUCAAAAAAUAUCACAAGGCAUGAUUUCAUAAGACUGAGAAUAACAUAAGAAAUGACUUCAUAAAUUAUGAGCAUUAUAACUGAUAAUGCUUAAAUACAUUCUUGAAUAUGAAUGUACACAAUCACUUGCCAUGCUAUUACCCAACUAAGGACUCGGGGUCAAAUCCACAUGGAAUAAAAUAAAUUGCUUCAUUUUCAAGUGUCAGAAAUAAUUAUAAGUUGGCAUGUAAUACAUAAAUCAAACAACAGAGAAAAAGUGAGGGGGGGAGGGAGUUGUUAAAAUAAUUUUUAUUAUGAGUUAAUAAUUUCAACACUUCUUGUCAAAACAACUGAUAUAAGAAUUGUAAUCAAUGGAUUAAGGCAUUUGGGGUUAUGCCUUCUUGAGAAUGAUUAUUCUUGGUUAAGAUAAAACACACCUAAUAUUUGAUCGCUAGCUAUGAUUAGGCUUUUUUUAGGUAUUGGUGGUGAUUUCUUAAUCCACAACUAAAUUUUCAUGUGGGUUUGUUUUGAAACCCCAAUCAUCUACCCUACCAAAGAACUAUGAACUUUAUAAUGGGUAAUCUAUUCAUAGAAUCACCACUUGAGUGAGUAUAACUUAAAUUUUAACUAAAUCUCAUCAUUGUUGUGUUCUCAUUCAAGCAAUGGCAGAGAUUCAAAACACACUAAGUUAGCAACUUCAAUCUAUAAAUUAAAAUAUAGAGAUAGAGAUAAAAUCAUAAUAUACAAUCUAAUACAAAGGUAAAUAAUUACUACCUAUUCAAUAAUCAAUACUCAAUAAUGCAUAACCCCAACUUUGAAAAAUUAAUUACUCAUAAUAAAAGAAAAAGGAAUUAUACCAAAUUCUUCUUCCACAUUCCCCAAAGAAUCAAAAUAUUUCACAAGAAAACUCUAGAUUCAAUGGACAAAGUAGUUAAUACCAUAACUAGGGUUUGAUUACAAGCUUAACAUUUAGAAAAUAUAAAAAAAUAUAGGGUUUCAAAUGGCCGAAAAGGCCUAAUAGCUUCAACAAAUUGAUCUUCAAAAUUAUUAAAAAUACAACCGUAUGCAAUUUGACUAGCACACUUUCAUUGUUGAUAGAGUCAGUGAUGCACUAAAUUUUCUAUGUCUCAACAAUUGGACUUUGACUUUAGCUAUGGAACACGAUAUCUUCAAUCCAUUCAGUGAUGCACUAAACAAUGUUGUCCGUCAUGAAUUUUCCUACCUUUGAAUUAGACCUAAAUUAUUAAUUUUAGCAAUGGAUGGCUUCCUUUGGAGAUGCGUAGGACAUAGACGAUGUGUCAAUUGUCCAUUGGGUAGCUUUUGUGAAUUUUAGCUCCAACAUUCUAUCUUUUUUCUUCUUUUAACUUUAUUUUGACAUUCCAACCACUUAUUUUACCUAACCAUGAAAUGAAUCAAAAUCAACCUUAAAAAUACUUCAAAUGGCAUUGUGGACUUGAUUUCUCAUGGCUUAUAGUGUAAAUGAAUCACAAUUUUCUGCAUCAUCAACACCCCUAACUGAAAUCAUUGCUCAUCCUUGAGUAUAUAAAUGCACACAGUGAAAUCAACAAUGCCUACAGAUGGUACUACUUGGGAGAAUAGACACACACUUAUUUUGUGAAAACACUUUGCCAUCAUGAGUUUGAAAAUAGUGGCCAAUGUCCUGCUUAUCAAGUACUCAUUUUGUGAAUGACAAGCAUCAAACGUUUGCUAGAUUUUUCAAAGUCAAUCAUAUCCUCAUAGACUUCGACUAAGAUUAAAGAAUACUCAUUUAUAGUAACUAAGUACCCUCACACAAAGAAAGCCUUUCCAUAAAGACAUGUUUAACAUCAAAUCAAGGGAUGAGCACAAAUCACUUAGCAUCUUAAAAGAUGAUCAAGUACACAAGUGCCACACCAUAGGCAUGCCCAUAUUCUUUAUUUAUCCAUAUACGAGUAUGCUACUUUUAAGGUCACCUAGGNNNNNNNNNNNNNNNNNNNNCGAUCUAGGAUAUGGUUAAGAUAGGGAAGAUUAAGGUUAUACUGACUCUACAACCUCAACGUAUGUAGAGACACCUCUCUCGAUAUAUUUUCUCUAGGUUUUCUUCAUUUGUGAUGUCAUGAAAUCUCACGAUCAAAGAUAUGAAUCAUAAUGGCACCUACUAUAUCUUGCCAGUUGGUAAGAUGAAUCGCAGCCUAAAGCUAGAAAAAAUGGGCUUAUUUGGUAGGGAGAGGCAUAAAAUCCAUAAAUUCGCAAGUAAUAACCUACAAUAAUAAUUCAAUUAAUUAUAAUAUUCAAGAAGAAAGAUAAGAUAUAAAUAACAUCUUAUGACCUAGUAAUAUAUGUACUAGAGCCACCAGCAAAAAGAAUCAUAAGUACUACACUAGUCAAUAUACAUCAGUCUUGAGUUAUGAAAGACUAAGAAAAGAUAAAUGAAGGAUAAAAGGGAAGCUCAGACUUUGAGAGCUCACCCUACCUCAGAACUUUAACAAGCAUGAUAAACGCCAUCUGCGACCAAUAGUGCUCAAAUAUACACCUAAAAGGUAGAGAAAUAUAGUAUGACUACCAAAGACAUGGAUACCUAAUAAGCAUAAAUAACUAACUAAGUUAAAUCAUAAUAUAAAAAUAAUUAAUACGCAAGAUAAAUAAGCAGUUACAUGGAAAAGGUAAAACCUACAAUAGUGCUUAAAUACUAUACAUAAAUAACCAAAAUAGAUAUAAUAUGAAAAAAUCCCAAUUAAUAUUACAAGAGUGUCCCCCAUAAGCUAGUAAACGUAGAAAAGUAAAUAAUCCAACACGGGCCUCUAUAAGCCCAGAGGGUGAAAUCAAGAAAGUAAAUAAUAGAAAUUCCUUAAAUUUACCAACUAUCAAGCCAUAACCAUGAAUCCAUCCAUGCCAUAAUAUAACAUAAAUAAUAUCUCAAUGUUCGACUUAAAUCAGAACUCAUAUCAUUAUCAUCAUUUGGUAGAAUUAUACCAAAAAAAUGUCUUAAAUUGAUGGAUUUGAACUAGAACUCAAUAUCAAUAAAUGUCAGACUUAAACCAGACCUCAUAUUAGCUCAUAAGUACAAAACUAGCAUAAGAUACAAUAAUAUAGACUCUUAAAACUCUAAAAUAUGUAACUUUCAAGAUAUAAUAUGCCUAUGAAGUCGACAAGGAACUAAUAAGAGUCUUCACCUAAGUUGGGCGGGAGGGGCCAACUUCUAAUCCCCAAACUCCAUUCUAACAAAAAUCUAUCCCGAACAAUACUAAGCUUUCAAAAUUUAUUUCUUGAUGUUAAAUAAGCCACAAUUAUCCCUAAGAUACCAAUCUUUAUUAGUGCAUGAGUAAAUAAGCCAAUCGCGCCUAAUUGAUGGUUCCCAAAUAGUAUUAACCAUCCAAUAAAUUCUAAUUAUACCAACUAUACAUCUAAGACUUAAUUUCUAUCCAAUAUAUAGCAAAAUCUUAUAAUAAUACCAUAAAUUAGCUUAAUUUAUAAGGAAAAUAAACCUAGUCAUCUUGGAUACCGAAAAAGAGCCCAAAGAAAUUUGCUAAAUCGUCAAUUUCACCUUCUGAGAAGCUUUCACAAAAUACCAUGCUAUCAAAAUCAUAAUCAACUCAUCAAAAUAAGAACAACAACACCCAUAUUAUACUUGUGUUCUUUGGGUUCAGAAUCACAUUAAAAUUUCAUGUAGGGGUCGCUUGCUAAUUGCACUUUCAAAAUUAACCACCCAACCCUCUAUGCUCAAGGAUUAUUCACCAUCAAGAAUGGUUAAAUUCUGAGCUCAAAUAGUUCUACAUUAAAUUCAUAAAUUUUCUAAAGAUUUUGGGGAAAUUAACCACAAAGUUAAGUUAAUGAAAACUUAAAAUUAAAAUAGAGAAGAAAUAAGUAAUUAAAUCUUAUCAACUUCCUAAAAGCACUUACCAAUGUAUUUUCCAAGUUUCAAUACAUUUUAGGUUUUUUCACUCUUGAAAUUUAGUGAAAAUGGGUGAGAAUUUGAGAAAUUAGGCUAUUUAAGGCCAUUCAUGUUCCGCUUAAGAAGAAACUAGGCCACUUAUUUUGUCACUGCUUAAGAGGAUAAUUGUUGCUUUAGUGAAAUUGGCUACCUGCACGCAUAUUGCUUAAGCGGUCUUAUUGUUGCUUAAGUAGUCAUAAGUUUAGCAGUAAGGGCUCCACUUAAGUAGCCCUAAGCUGGGCCAGCUUGUCUACAUAAACAGUCUAUUGGCUGCUUUAGUGGACCCCUGCUUAAGCAACCCAAUGUGUGCUUAAAUAGGUGCACCAGUUGGAGACUUGGAAUUUUCUUGAGUCUCCACUGACCCUUCGGGAUUCGUUUGGAAUCUUGUAUUCACAUAUGAACUAUGCAACCCUACCAAAUUAAAUAUACAAAUCUUAAAGCUGUGAUUAAAAUUUUAUCCAAGGUUAGUUCGAUGACAAGUAGAUCUCACACCCAAGUGGCAUUUUUCUCAUAUUUUGGUCAAUUGUCCAAAACGAGUUUGGAAGCCUUAGGACACAAAAAAAGGUCCACCUAUCUUAAAAUCAAUGUUGUGAAGUUGUUUGGACUAUUAGAACUAACAUACAUGGUCGUUUGAUUUAUUUUUUUGCCCAAUAGACAAUUCAAACCAGUAAAGACUUUAAAACAGAGAAUUAUCUCUAAAAACAAAAUGAACUACCAUGUAGCUAUACUAUCAUCUCCAGCAUGUCAUAAAUGACUUUGGCAGCUAUAUGGAAGCUCUAAAUUAUGAAAAUAUGUAGAAAUACAUAAAAUGACCUAUAAGGUUAUUAGAACAUCCACUACUAAAGUAACUUUCAUCGACAAAAGUAAAGGUAUAGGAUGUAUCUUAAUCAUUGAACAAGUGAGGAUACUAGGACUAUUGCUUAGUUAAUAGUAAUAUAGUAUCAGUAAACUCAGAUAUCAAUAAAUCAGUAAUUCAAAACUCAAUAUCCAGUGUUAUCAUGACCUUUGUUACAGUUUAUGCUUUUAUGCAUGUACUCUCAUUUAGUUAUACUUAUGUUAUUCAGUUAGUAUUGUUUAUUUAUAUAAACCCAUGCAUCUCAGCCUACCUAAACUUAGCAUACUAGUACAUUCAAAGUGCUGAUGCAUACCUUUCUUUUGUGCUAUAAUGUCUUAUAUUAAAGGUUCAGAUGUAUGGGCUCCCAAUCAUACUUAGCAUCCCGAUACAUUAGCAGCAGACUAGCAGCGAGCCCUCAUUGUUCAAGGAAAGAUUUAUUAUUGUAGUAUCUUAGUACUCAGUUUAUUUCAAUAGGCAAAGUUAGUUGGGGACUUGUCCCAUCAACUCCUUGUUCAGACAGUAGAGGCUUUCCAUACUAGAGUAUUUUAGGGGGAUGUAUUAGUAUUCAAUUUUUAUUACUUAGUAUUUAUUUAUAGUUUUGAACCUUAUGAUAAGUUUCCAUCUAAUUCCACAUAAUACGGUAUUAUUAUUCAGUUAUUGCAGCAGGUACUAGUCAUAGGUCAGCCUGUGGUCCCUUAGGAUUAUGAGCACCAUGUAGCAUCCGAGGUAUAGACUCGAGUUGUUAAACAUUUGGUAUCAGAGGCUAAGGUUCAACAGAGUCUUAGAAUGUCUGAAAAUCACAUCUACUAGGGUCUUGUGCAUGGGUAUGUAGCGUACCACACUUAUGUACACGAGGCUAUUAGAUGUUUUAGUAAAACUUUCCCUUUUUUGAGUAUUCAUGUCAUUCAAGUAAGCAUGAGAUCAAGUUAAACUCUUAGUCUAAUCCAUUAUCUACUUUUCAUUUAUAGAACAUGCCUUCUAAAAAGACUAACGAAAGAAGAACUAGAAAUCAGUCUGCACCUCAACCCAUUCAGGAAGAUCCCCUGGAUGAAUAUGUCUCCCAUGCUAAAUUUUGAGUUGCUUUUACCACCCUAGAUCAUUUUGUGGUAGCUCAGAAUGAAUGCCCAUCUGCUAUUCCAGCUAACCCAGUGGACAAUACUGUUGUAGCUAGAAUUCGAGACCACCCUAAUGAACCCUCCAUCUUUUAUUGGGUUAAAGUCAGAUGAAGACUCAUAGGAAUUUCUUGAUCAGGUGUAGAAGGUUAUAGAUAUUAUGGGGGUGACAGCUAGUGAGAGUGCCGAUUUAGCUGCUAUCAAUUGUAGGAUAUGGCUCACUCAUGGGUCAAACAGUAGAAAACAGAGAGGGCUGUAGAUGUAGGGCCCAUAGAAUAGGAGAAGUUUGUUAUUGCUUUUUUAGAUAGGUUCUUCCUGCUAGAGUUGUGGGAAAUGAAGGUUUUGGAAUUUAUAAAUUUAAAGUAGGGCAACUUGAUGGUACAAGAGUAUUCUCUCAAAUUUAUUCAAUUAGCCAGCUACGCUCCACAUGUGGUAGAUGAUAACUGAUCUAAGAUGAGUAAGUUUGUCUCUUGCAUGUCAAAUAGUGUGGUCAAGAAGUAUAAAACCACAAUGUUGUGUAAAACAAUAAUUUUGAUUAAAUAGAUGAACAUAUCCAAACUCAUGUUCUAUGCUCAGCAGAUAGAGUAUGCUAAGAAUUGGGAGAAGGAGAGGGAGAACAGGAGCUGGCAGUGAUGUAUGCUUCGAAUAUAGCAAGCCAGGCCACAGAGUCAAAUAAUUCCCUUAGGUGGGUACGCUGAGUUAACAUAACCAUCCCUCAGCUUAAUUCAGUCACCUUAAUCAGUAGGGUGCUACUUCUAUUUCCACCAGUGGACAAAACCCAAAUAGACUCUAUGAACUUCAGUCCCGACAGGAUCAAGAAAGUUUUCCUAAAGUAGUCAAUCGUACGUUACAAGUUUAGGAGCUUUUUUAUCCUUUGUUACUCCUUAUAUAGCUGUUUACUUCAGAGUUAGUACUAAAAUCCUAGCAGAGCCUUUCUCAGUCGCUACCCCAGUGGGUAAAUCUAUCAUAGCCCAUUGGGUAUACAGGAACUAUCCAAUUAUGGUAUUUCAGAAAGUCACUUCAGCAGACUUAGUCGAAUUAGAGAUGAUCGAUUUUGAUGUCAUUCAUGGCAUGGACUGGCUUCAUUCCUAUAAUGAAUUAGUCAAAUGUAGAAAUAGAAUUGUCCAGUUUCUAUUUCUGAAUAAGCCCAUACUAGAGUAGAGAGGUAGUACUUCAGCACUUAGGGGUCAACUUAUUUCUUACCUUAGGGCAAGGAAAAUGAUAUCUAAGGGAUGUGUCUACCAUCUCAUCUGAGUCCAAGACUCUAGAUCAGAAACCCCUAAUCUUGAGUCAGUAUCAGUAGCAUGUGAAUUCCCAGAUGUGUUUCCCAAAUAUCUUCCCAGAGUUUCUCCUGAAAGGGAAAUCGACUUUAAAAUGGACCUUCUUUUACAUACUUAGCCCGUAUCUAUUCUGCCAUACAGAAUUCCUCCAGUAGAACUCAGAAAAUUAAAGGAAUAGUUGAAGGAUCUCUUAGAUAAGGGAUUCAUCAUACCUAGGGUAUCCCUGUGGGGCACAACAGUUUUAUUAAUAUGUAAGGAAGAUGAUUCUCUCUGAAUAUGUAUUGACUACCAUCAGUUAAAUAAAGUAACAGCAAAGAACAAGUAUCUACUUUCUAGAAUCGAUAACUUGACGGAUCAACUUUAGGGUGCCAGUUCCUAUUAUAAUAUAGACCUUAGAUCAGGCUAUUAUUAACUCACAGUCAGAGAAUGUGACAUUCUAAAGACAUCUUUUAGAAUUAGGCAUAGUCACUUCAAAUUCUUAGUCAUUUGCUUUGGUCUUACCAAUGCUCCAAUAGCUUUCAUGGACUUGAUGAACCAUGUGUUAAAUUAGUACUUAAAUAUGUUCAUUAUAGUCUUCAUAGAAGACAUCCUUGUUUACUCCUAAAGUGAGCAUGAUCAUGCCGACCAUCUCAAAAUAGUAUUACAGACCCUCAGAACCUAACAGCUAUUCUAUAAAUUCAGUAUAUACAAAUUUUCGCUAAGGUCAGUAGCUUUACUCGACAACAUCAUUUUUGAUAAUGGCAUUAGAGUUGAUCCCAAAAGACCGAAGAAGUGAGAAACUAGCCUAGACCCACCUCUCUAUCGGAUAUCAAGAGUUUCUUAGUCUUGGCUAGCUAUUACCAAUAGUUUGUUGAGGGAUUUUCUACUAUUUUAUCCUCUAUGUCCAGAUUGACUCAAAACAAGGUUAAAUUUUAGUGGCCAGAUUUUUGGGAGCAGAGUUUUCAAAAGUUGAAGACUCGACUAAUCUCAGCUCCAGUGUUGACUAUACCAGAUGGUUCAAAUGGCUUUAUUGUGUAUUGUGAUGCUUCUAGAGUUUUCUUGGGGUGUGUUUUUAUAUAGAGAGAUAAGGUCAAAGACUACGCCUCUAAACACCUUAAGCCCUAUAAAAAGAAUAAUCCAACUCAUGAUCUUGAGUUAGCAGCAGUAGUUUUUGCCUAAAAGAUUUGGAGGAACUACUUGUAUGGUGUGCAAAUUGAUAUGUUCACUAACCAUAAGAGCCUACAAUAUGUGUUCUCUCAGAAAGACCUAAUCCUCCAUUAGAGAAAGUAGUUGGAGUUGUUGAAAGACUAUGACAUGAGUGUUCUUUAUCAUCUGUGUAAAGCCAAUGUAGUGGCUGAUGCCCUUAGUAGGAUGUGUAUGGGUAGUAUUUCUCACGUGGAUGAUGGUAAGAGGAAUUUAGCUCAAGAAGUUCAUUAUCUUGCUCGACUGGGUGUCCGCUUAGUCGAUUCAACAGAAGGUAAUGUAUGGGUGCUGACUAGUUUAGAAUCGUCUCUAGUUUCCUAGGUGAAGGAAAAGUAGUCUAGGGAUCCCAGCCUAGUUAAGUUGAAAGAAUCAGUCAGAGAUCAUAAGAUUGAGGUUUUCUCCCAAGGAGGAUAUGGUGUCCUGCGUUGUUAGGGUUGGCUAUGUGUGCCAGGUGUAGAUAACCUAAGACAACACAUUCUAGCAGAAGUGCAUGGUGUGCGUUACUCUAUUUAUCUAGGGGCUACUAAAAUGUACCGUAUUUUGUGGGAGAUAUAUUAGUGGAGUGAGAUGAAGAGAGAUAUUACAGAGUUUGUGGCUAAGUGCUAUAUAUGUCAGUAGGUUAAGAUUAAGCAUCAAAAACCUAGUGCGUCUAUGCAGGAGUUUAGUAUUCCCACUUAGAUAUGGGAAGAGGUGAACAUGGAUUUUGUGAUGGGUUUACCUCGUACUCAUCAUCAUCACGAUUGUGUUUGGGUCAUUAAAGACAGGAUGACUAAAUCAGCUCAUUUCCUACUAGUCCAUACCUCUUAUUCAUUCGAGGACUCUGCCAACCUCUAUGUCAGAGAGUUUCAAAGAUUACAUAGUGUUCAGUUAUCUAUAAUCUUAGAUAGAGGUAUGCAGUUUACCUCUAAUUUUUGAAAGGUAUUCCAAAAGGGUCUUGGUACCUAAGUCCACCUUAGUAAAACUUUUUAACCUCAGACAGAUGGUCAAGUAGAAAGGACCAUUCUGAGUUUAGAGGAUAUGCUGAGAAUGUGUGCGAUAGAAUUUAAAGGUAGUUUGGAUGACCACUUGCCUUUGAUUGAGUUCGCAUAUAACAAAAACUAUUAUUCUAGCAUUUAGAUGGCUCUAUUUGAGACGCUUUAUAGGAGGAGAUGUUGUCUCCCAUUGGUUUGUUUAAAGUAGGUAAGGCUACAGUGGUAGGGCCUGACUUGGUAUUUGAUACCUUAGAAAAAGUUCAGUUGAUCAUGGAAAGGCUUAAGAUAACUUAAAGCCGAUAGAAAUCAUAUGCAGAUAUGCGAAGAAUGGAUCUCGAGUUUGAGAUUGGUGAUUAUAUGUAUUUGAAGAUCUCUCCUAUGAAAGAAGUGAAGAGGUUUUGCAAGAAGGGGAAACUUUGUCCUCGAUAUGUUACUCUUACUGAAUUCUCAGCCAUUUCAGAAAGUUAGCUUACGAGAUUGAGUUUCCUUUAGAUUUAGCUUUAUUCUAUCCAGUGUUCCAUGUCUCAUUCCGUGUCUCGUUGCUUAAGAAAUGCAUAGGUGACCCAAUAAUUAUAGUCCCUGUAGGGAGUAUAGACGUUCAAAAUAGCCUCUCUUAUAAGGAGAUUCUAGUUGAAAUCCUUGAUUUACAGAUUCGUAGACUGAGGAACAAAGAAGUCCCUCUAGUCAAAGUUCUUUGCCAGAACCAGUCAAUUGAGGGAGCUACUUGGGAAGCAGAAGAAGAUAUACGGACCAACUAUCCUCACCUCUUAUCUGCAAAUUCCGACUCAGCCCAAGGUAACAUUUUCCCCUUGAACUUACUCAGUUUCAUACUCAGAUUUUAUUUAUAAACUUGGUAUCAGUUACCAUUGUAUGUCCAGUAAUACAUUCAUGAGUUCAUUCAGUCAGAUAUUUGUGCAUCAAAUAUGCAUGUUCAGUAUAAGAGACUCAGCUUAUCAGUAAUCUAAUCCAUGUACUCAUGCAUCAGAUAUGCAUGGUCAGUAAGAAAUUUCAAUAUAUCAAUAAUGUCAGUCAUGAAAUCAUGUUACAGUUGUGCAUGUGUCGUAUUUAAAUCUAGUCUAUCAGUAUUCUCAGCUUAGUCAGUCUCAUUCGAGGAUGAAUUUUCCCAAGGGGGAGAUAUUGUAAGACCCCACAAAAUCCUAAGCUUAACUUAGACCAUUAAAGCUUGUUAAGGGGUCUGAGGCUUAGAAAAGUUUAGCUAACUGUUCAUACUGAGAGUUAUUUUAGCCUUCGUAAGUUGGCGGUCCUUUUUAUGACCUUUAAAUAUUAAUUUUUAGGUUAAUUCAUGAUCAGCAAUGUCAGUAGGUGUUCUAGAAAAAGUUUUUGAUUUUUUGGAAUUCGUUUGAAACACAUUCGAAAGCUCAAACUAGUGGAUCGAUGUGAUCUCAAUGCACCGUAUCACACAUCACGUUGAUGAGUAUUUUUCCCUAGCUCCCAGUGCUAAUCCUAGCGAACCGAUGUAGACUUAAUAUGGUACAUUGUCUAUCACAUCAAUGCCAAUGAUGCGACGUGUCGGUCAGCACGUCGCUAAAUUAGUUUUGAGUCAUUAGAAUGCUACAUCCUUAGGGGUAAUUGGGUCUUUUCCCACCUUAUGUCAGCCCUCAAACCAUAAAAUUAAGCCCCUUUAGAGGCAAAAUUCAUUCCCUAUUCAGAAUUUACUCAAGAACAAAAACCCUAGGAUAUCUAAUUUCAAACUCAAGGCUUAAGAUUUCACCGUCAUUCUUAAAGAAUUUAACAACCAAGGUAUGUGAAGUGUUCAUCCAAGGGUUUCCUUCCACCCUUGGAUUUUAAGAAACUCUUUCUAAAUACAAGUUAAUUAAUUUCAUGUUGGAUCUUGAAAGUAUUAAUGAUUAUGAUUGUAGUAGUGAUCUAAUUUUAUGAUUUGUCCCAAGUUACUCCAAACUAGUUUAAUUGUGAAUUGAAUUUUGUGAACUACAUGUUAAACUCUUGAACAGCAAGUUGAGUGUAGAAUCUAUGAUAUUACUACAUGUUUAUUGAUAUGUGAAAUACCCAUGCUACCCUAGUGUCUCUCAAAAUAUUUAUGUUAUUAGACUAGUCCAAACAUAAUAUGUUAUUGUGAGAUAUUAAUCAUGCACAAGCUCAUGUAUAAGAAGUGUUUGACCUAGGAUGUCGAAAUGAAUGUAUUAUUAGCAAGCUAGUACAAUGAUGCUACUAAAGUUAUGCAGUGAUUUACUUUUUGUGCUAUCGAGUCUUGGGGGUAGUUAAUACCCGAUAAUUUAGCUACUUACCUAGAGCUAGUGUCAGUUACAGAAUAGUCUCAUUCAUAUCACGAUCAGUAGUACUCUCAGUCAGUUACAAAAUUUAGGAAAAAAUUAGUAGACUCAGUAUCAGUCGAGUUCAGUUCAGUAUCUAGUUUAGACCUCAGUAUAUUCAGUUAGUUAGUAAAAUUCAGUAGUAUUCUGCUAGUCAAAUGAACUCAGUGAACUCAUGCUAGUUCAGUUAGAUAGUAUAAUUAGUAAUAGCUCAGUCAAGCCUAGUAUGAACUAGGAAUCAGUUCAGUGCCUAUUCAUUUAAGAGCAGGAUUCAACACUGAUCGAACCCAGGGAUGGGGGCCUUCCUGCCAGUAGAGGGUUUGACCCUUAGUAUCAAUCCAUGUAUUAAAGAACUACAUAUCCAGUGUAGGUUGAGAUAUCUUCCUACCAGACUAGGGUUGAUACAUCUCAUAUGAGUUUUCCUACCACCAAGGGUUGACGAAAGAGCUUCCUGUUAGAGAGGGUUAACUCACAAUUGUCUUUCCCCAUGGCACGGUACUGACACCCUUCAAAAUGGGGUUACAGGUUGUACCUCAAUCUAUCCAAAAAGGGGCAUGUCGGUUAGAUAAUUAUCUCCCACAAUCUUAGUUUCAGUCUUUAGAAUAGAACUCAGUUCAGUUUGACAAAAAUCAAGACUAUUAGAUGGUCAUUCAGUUCAGUAUAGAACUUAGAAUAGUUCCACAGAAUCAGGACUGUCAGCUACAAUUCCUCAGUUAAUAGUAUUAGAAUAUUUGUAAACUCAGAUAUCAGUAAAUUAGUAAUUCAGAACUUAGUAUCCAAGGUUAUCAUGACCUCAGUUACAGUUUACGUAUUCAUGCAUGUACUCUCAUUCAGUUAUACUGAUGUUAUUCAGUCAUUAUUGUUCAUGCAUCUCAGCCUAUCUCACUUAGCAUACCGGUACAUUAAAAGUACCGACACAUACCUUUCUUUUAUGCUAUGAUGUUUUAUAUCAUAGGUUCAGAUAUAUGGGCUCCCGAUCAUACUUAGCAGCCUAAUAUAUCAGCAGCAGACUAGAGGUGAGUCAUCAUUGUUCAAGUAUAGAUUUAUUAUUCCAGUAUUUUAAUUCUCAGUUUAUUUUAGUAUUCAGAGUUAGUUGAGGACUUGUCCCAUCAACUCCUUGUUCAGACAGUAUAAGCUUUUCAUAUCAGUAUUUAGUUUUCAGUAGAGAUUUAUCAGUAUUUAGUUUUCAGUACUCAGUAUUUAUUUAUAGUUUUGAACCUUAUGGCAAGUUUUGGCCUAAUUUCUUCAUAAUAUAGAAUUAUUAUUUAGUUAUUGCAGUAGGUACUAGUCAUGGGUUAGCUUGUAGUACCUCAGGAUUAUGAGCACCUUAAAGCAUCUGAGGUAUAGACUCGGGACGAUACUAAUUCAAAGAGGAGUGACUAAUUUAGGGAAACAAUGAUAGGAGAAAACAUAAGUUUCUUAUUGAGUCUAUUAAAUAUGCUUGCAAAAUCACCAUCAAAUUCAAACUUUGCUUUCUUUUAAGAAGCUUAAAUGUAGGAUAUACAAUCUGGGAGAAUCUUUUAUGAAACAUUUAUAGAAUCAUAAUUAGGCAAUGAGCUUUGUAUUUUCUUGGCCAACUUAAAUGCCUUGACCCGAUAUCUUAAGCCCAAGUAUAAUAUUGUAAUACCCUGUACUUCUACCUAGCCUAAAAUCAUCCCAGAAAUGUUAAAGACUUGUUUCAAAGAUGAAUCCACUUUUAUACAUAUGGUAUUUUCAAUAUUUUCACUUUUUUUCAUGUGGAAAAUUCAAUAAGCCUUCCAUUGAUACCAAAUUCGCCCAAAUAUGAUAGCUGGGAGAAGAGUUAGAGCCUUUUUAGUGAGACAGUUUAUCACCUGAUCCAUCAGCGCGUCGUGGAGCAGGUCAAAAUGGAAAUUGUCAAAAUCCAGUGAGCUUCCACAAUUAUGGUGCAUCGGGCGAGGGCUCAAAUUUAGAAUCUCCCUUUUCCCAGUGUCUCAACACUAUGCACCGCGUUGCAGUGAACUUCCAGGUCCUAUCCCGUGUUGCAACAUGAUUUCACCGCGUCGCACCUUUAGCCCAGUUCCCAGUUUGCAAUUUCCAAUGAUACGGUGUGAUAGCACCACAUUGCGCUAGCCUUCCAAAUUGAAAAAUUUUCUUAAAAAUAAAAUACGCAUCCAAGGGUUAAAACGGUCAAUUUCUCAACCCUAUAUAUACCAAAUAACACGUGAUUCAGCCAUAUUUUAUCCAAAAUAUAGAAUUUCUUUCUAGUUUCUCUCAAGUACAAGAUAGGGUUUUGAAUUGGGGAUUCAUAUUCAAGACUCAAAUUCAAGAAUCUCUCAGUCAAAAUUCGUAGGACAAGAACUAAGAUAUGAAUAGUGUUCAUUAUUGGAUUCUUUUUAUCCAUGAAGCCCAAGAAUCAAGUGUCAAAUCUUGUAUUGUGAAUAUUUUACUCUCGGUUGAUUAUGUUUAUGUGAUUAUGAUUGUAUGAUUCCCAAGUUAAAAUCUUUAUGUGUUGUUUAUGAACCUAUGCUAGUAUGUGGUCGAAAACAUAUGAAAUUGAGUUGAAAUAUGAAGUUUCAUUGUGUUAAUUUGAUGGUUAUACCUAUGCCCUAAGUCAUGCAUCCUAGGUGUUUGAUAAAAUACUUUAGAGUAUAGAAACUAUGCACUAUAGCUUAAUUGUGACCCAAAUGAUAAAUGCAUGCUUUACCUUAUGACUAAGAAUGACUUCUAUGAUAUUGUGUGCAUUAUGAAUAGUUGAGGGAAUGUCCAUGAGAUUAGGUUGAUGGAAGUAUGACAUGUCUAUAUGCAAUUCCAUCCACAUACAUCAUUAUGAUAACCAUGUUCUUCAUGAAAUCCCUAACUUAUAGUAUUAUAAAUUAUUGAUAUUGGUCAUGUGUUCAAGAAGUGUCAAGUCUUGUUAGUUUCAUGAUAUCGAGUCCUGGGGGUACUUGUACCAGAUAAUUUAGCUGUGUUCCUAGAGCUAGUGUCAUGUUUUCAUGAUACUCUUAAUUAAGCCAUGAUUAGCAGAAUUCAGUCAGUCAUGUGACUCAGGAAAAAUCAGUAAACUCAGUAUCAGUCCAGUCUCAAUCAGUAAUCUUAGUAAUCUCAAAAAUCUCAGUAAUCUUAGUAGUCCAAUAAGAUCAGUAAUCUCAGUACUCAAUAAUCUCAGUAACCUCAGUAUUUCCUAAAAUCUUAGUAACUUCAGUACUCUCCGUCAGUCCUCAUAUCUCAAUAGCAUUCCGUCAGUCAAUAAAACUCAGUGAACUCAGUUUAGCUCCGCUAAAUAAUACCAUUAGUAUCUGUUCAGUUCAGUAAUCCAUGAUCACUGUCUAUUAAGAUGGGAGUAGCAAUUAGCAGCGAGUGAACCCAAGGAUGGGAAAACACACUGUCAGAUGAGGGUGUGAUUCUUAGAAGUCAUUCUUGCAUUCCAAAACUACGUAGCCAACAUAGGUUGAGACAUCAACACUGUUAGAUGAGCGUUGAUGAGGUGGAUAAGAACUGUUCGAUGAGGGCCCCUCUGUUCUCUUUUAGGGACACUGUCAGAUAAAGGUCACUCAUACCUUGUCCUUACCAGUGGUACGGUAUUAACAUCCUUCUAAUUGGGGUUACAGAUCAGACCCCAACUCAUCCUUAAUGGUGUAUUAGGAGUAUAUCAUUUAGAGAACUAUUUGCCACAAUCUCAGUUAAAGAUCCAGUCUCAGUAAUAGAACUCAGUUUAGUUCUAUAGAAAUCCAGGACUGUCUGAUACAGUCAACUCAGUAUAGUGCGGAACUCAGCCAGUUCCAUCAAUAUCAGGACUGUCAGAUAUAGUCACUCAUGUUAUCAAUAUUCAGACUCAGUAAUUAUAUUAUCAUAAACUCGGAUAAUAAUAUAUUAAUUAUACGAAACUCAUGUUAUCAAUAUUUAGUUUCAUGAUUAUCAGAUGCAGUUAAUCAAACCAGUUUUUCAUAAUUAGCAAUGUCAGAAAUAGUCAUUCCUUUUUCGGUAAUAUGACUUCAGUUCCUCAGUUCUUAAUAGACUCAGUCAUUUAAUAUCCCAAUUUUAGUACUCAGAUAUCAGUAAAUCCAUGUUAUCAUAAUUCAUUAGUCAGCAUUAUCAUGAUCUCAGUUAAAGUUACUUAUUUAUGCAUAUAUUCUCACGUUUAUGUUGUACAGUUAAUUAUUAUUGUUCAUGCGUAUGAACCCCUAUAUUUAGCCUACAUCACUUGCAUACCAGUACAUUCAACAUACUAAUGCAUUUAUGCUAUGGUAUUUUAUACCAUAGGUUUAGAAAAAUAAGCUCGCAAGCAUCCUUAGUAGAUCAAACGUUCAACAUCCAGACUAGUAGUGAGUCCUCAUCAUUUGAGGAUAGUAUGAUUAUUUUAUUAUUUCAUUAGUUUAGAGUUAAUUGAUGACAUGUCCUAUUAACUCCAUAGUUUUUAAAUAGUUUAGUGGCUUUCAUACUACAACAUGUUUUCAGAUAGUUUAUUUUAGUUUUUGGAUAAUUUAUACCCCGUUUCAGACAUUGUUCCAUAUUUAGUAUUAGUUUAGUUUUGAGCCUUAUGUCCUUACAGCUUAUAUUCUGCAUAUUUAUAGUAUAUUAUUCAGUGCUCAGCUAUAGAUAUCAGUCAUGGGUUAGCUUGUGGUUUUUUGGGAUCAUGAGCACCCUAUAAUGUUUCAGAAACUAGAUUUGGGGUGUUACAAACUUGGUAUCAGAGCCUAAGGUUCAAUAGUGUCCUAGGAAAUCUAAAAAGCCACAUCUAGUAGAGUUUUCUACAUGGGUAUAUUGUGUACCACACUUAUGUGCAGCAGGCUAUGAGAUGUUUUAGGAACGAUUUCCCUUUUUUCAAGUCUCUGCUCAUGCUAUAGAAAGGUUCUCUAAGAAACUCAUGUAGAUUCUCCCCAUGCUUUACUUAUGUCAACAUCACCUUACUAUCAUGGUAAUAAAAAUAGUAAAGCUCAAGGUCCUAGGGGUAGGGCUUUCUCAGUCAGUCCCCAUAGACAGUUAUGGAAUUUCCCACAGGAUCAAAUGUAUCCCAUCAAUUUGUUUAUGUUCCAAAGUUGUACAUAUCUCACUCAUGAUCAUGAAAACUCAUUCACAAACCCAAAAUUAGAUAUUCCAUCAGAUCCCUUCUCAGAAUCCUAUGAUAGUAUCUGACUUAGAGUUAGAAGUAUGAACCCAGGAGUUUAGUAGUAGUCGAUUUGGGAUAACGUUAUCCAUAUUGAGCAAAUAAUGUAUUCAUGGGGAUAGUUGUACCAAGGUAGACUAGUAGGCUUGAACAGUGCAAAAAAAAUUUUAGAUUAUUGAUCCAAAAUUUAGUAUAAAGGUAUGAAUGUGAAUUCAAAGAUGCAAUAUUAGUAGUAUAUGAAGAAAUAGAAGCAAAUGAUUUGUUUAGUAAGGCAAGCAUGUGUCGAACAGAGUGUAGGUAUGUGAUGAUGAUUGAAGUUCAGUUUAGAAUUUAGUAAAGUAUUCACGUACUUAUGAUGAUGGCUUAAUGCUAAGGGGAGAUGAUAGAUCAAGUGACCAAUUCAGGCUCUCAGAUUCCAGUAGUAGUGCCAGUACAUAUAGAAAAACAAUAAGAGAAGAUGAUUCCCGACCUAUCCUUAUCUUAGUGUAAAGUUUGGUACUUCAGCCGGCAUGAUGCCUACACAUGCUUCACAUCUCAGUUCCAUGAACACAACUUAUAUUCACCCAUUUUCCAUAGAAUUAUGUAUGAUUCUAGUUCCCACCAUAAGGAGUUCAGUUCUAUUCCCCUAAGUACUACAUAUCAUGUCCCACGAAUGUAGAAAACUCCAAACUCAGGUCAUGCACCUCAUGUACACAUAUCAUGCUUUACAGUAUACUCAGCUUCCCUAGAUUAUGCUAUGCCUCUACUGAUCAGUUAAAUUCAGCCUAUGUCAUGCAUAUUCUUAGUUCAAAUAUUUUUGGUAAAUCUAUAUUGUUGAUAUUCUAUUCCUCAAGAAUCAGUCAUGUAUUAAGUUCAAUCAGUAUCCAUUAAUGUUUUAGGUCCUCCUAAUUUAAAGCUUCAGUAAGCUCUCUUUGUGAAGAUAGUGUAGUGAUGAGCAAUUACUUGGAUGGGAGAGAGUAAAUGUUACAUGAUAAGAGAAGAUUGCUAAAUGGUUGUUUUACACGAGGGUGUAGUUAUGAAGAUAGGAUUGAAUACCACAUUAGUGUGCAAGUAAAUAUCUAGCAAGAGGUUGUAUUUAGAAGUUGGGAAAGUUCAGAGUGUGUGUGAAUUCAGAUAUUUGACUUAUGUAAGCCCCCGUCGUGUAACUAUCAAAAUUCAGUUGCCAUCUCAGUUAUAGUUUCAGUAUUCAGUACUUAGUAAUUAGUGUUCAGUCUCAGAAUUUAGUACCUCAAUACCAGUUUAAACCUAAGCUAUCAAUAACCAAUAUUCAGUUGCAACUAAAGUCUUAGUUACGUUACAGUCUCAAUUACCGUCUUAUCUAUAAUCUCAGUCCCAGUCCUAGUUUAGUAAUCAGGUCGGUAACUCAGUUCAAUUUCAGGUUUACUCAACCAUAGCAUACAGUUAUUAGCUACUCAGUUGUCAACCUUAUAGUACCUCAGUUUACAAGAUUAUUCUUGAAGCAUGUUGUAACAUUGGUGUUACAUUCUCAAAUAAUACAAUUACCCUUAGUUCAUGCUCAGUAUCUUAUGUCAACCAAUCAGUCCUUAUCUCCUAUGCAUAACGCUCUACAAUUGCAAUCCCAUUGUUUAAGACUAAGUACAGUUCAAUCUUAUAAAUGCAGUAGUCAGCUAUCAACUAUCUAGUUAAUUUGAUAAGUUAGUGUAUUUAUACACUCGUGUUCAGCACCUAUGUGAAUCUUUUUAGUAGCCUCAGUUAUAGUGCAAAAGACUUAGUCAUUUCAUCUUAAAUAGUGUUCGUAGGCCUCAACCCAUCUUACCAAACUUUAGCCAUGUGAUGAUUUUCUUAUUCAGAUGUCUUAUUUAGACAAGGCCAAGAUUUUCUUUUUUCCCUAAAGCCACUAGAACUCUAUAGGAAGAGUGUCAAAUAAAGACUCCAGUUGACCAUAAGUUUUUAUCACGAGCUAGUCUGUAAAACCAGAAAGUCAGCCUAUCAGUCAGAUGGAUAAGUUCGCAUAGUUUGGGUUUCCAUCCCUUCUAUCUAGACGUACCAUCUUAAGCCUCAUGAAUGUAACCAUUCUAAGAUGAACUGACUAGAUAGUUGCAAGAUUAACUCAGUUCAUUUUGUUACGUAUCAGUUUUAAAUCCCAGAUAUUCAAUCAUGAUUCAGUUCGUAGGUGCCCUGUGCAUCGUCCCAGUUUUCCUCAGUAUCUUAAUCAAGUUAGUAUUCUUCUAGGGAAAUUAUGUCUUAAGGGAGAGAUGCUCUAUAACCCCCGAGCUAUCAUUCCCUAAACCCUUCAAUUUCUCUUUAUGUAAUGAAUCUAUUUUGGAGUAGUGGAUACCUAUAGUUUGACCCUCAAGCUCCAAUCUCAAUUGUAUGCCAUGUGUUCAAGGUACUAAGUUUAGAUCACGAUAUUUAGCUUAGGUAUCACGUUCUAGACCCAGUUACGUUCUCAUGUUUCUAGUCAUGCAUAUUUAGUAAUUAAGCUUAGACUCAACCCAAGGUAAUAGCUUUUCUUAAGCUUAUUCGAUUUCAAGUUCAGGUUUCAGUUACAAAUGUGGUAUUCAGAUCCAUGCUCAGUUUUUUAUUUAAAACUUGGUAUCGUUACCCUUACAUGUUAAGUUGCAUGUUCAUGAGUCGGUUUAGUCAUGUAUUCAUGCAUUAGAUAUGCAUAAUCAGCUUAGCAGUACUCUCAGUCAUGCAUUAAUGUAUCUACUCAGUCCUAAAAUCAUGCAUGAGAUUUGCAUGCUCAAAAUGAAUCUCAGUAAUGUCAGUCAGGUAGUCAUGUUUUAGCUGUUUAUGUUCAGUAAGUACUUCAUCUUAUCAUUUCUCCCAUCUAAAUCAGACUUAUUCAAGGAUAAAUGUUCCCAAAGGGGAGAUAUUGUAAUACCACAUACUUCUACCUAGCUUAAAAUCAUCCCAGAAAUGUUAAAGAAAUGUUUCAAAGAUGAAUCCAUUUUUAUACAUGUGGUAUUUUCAAUAUUUUUACUUUUUGUUAUGUGGGAAAUUCAAUAAGCCUUCCAUCGAUACCAAAUGUUCCUAAAGGGAGAUAUUGUAAUACCACAUACUUCUACCUAGCUUAAAAUCAUCCUAGAAAUGUUAAAGAAAUGUUUCAAAGAUGAAUCCAUUUUUAUACAUGUGAUAUUUUCAAUAUUUUUACUUUUUGUUAUGUGGGAAAUUCAAUAAGCCUUCCAUCGAUACCAAAUUCGCCCAAAUCCAACACCCGGGUAAAGAGUUAGAGCCUUUUUAGUGAGACUGUGUAUCACCUGAGCCAUUAGUGCGUUGUAGAGCAGGUCAAAAUGUAAAUCGUCAAAAUCCAGUAAGCCUUCAUGAUUAUGGAGUAUCGCGCUAGGGCUCAAAUUUAGAAUCGUCCCUUUUCUAGUGUCUCAUUGUAAUACCACCACAUCACGGUGAACUUCUAGGUCUCAUCUAGUAUUGCAACGUAAUUUCACCGUGUCGUUCCCUCAACCCUAUUCCCAAUUGUAAUUUCCAGUGACAUAGAACGAUAGUGCUGCAUCGUGCCAGCCUUUCAUAUCGGGAAAUUUUCUCAAAAAUAAAAUUCGCAUACAAGGGUUAAAAGGGUAACUUUCUCAACCCUAUAUAAACCCAAUAACACAUGAUUCAGUCAUAUUUUAUCAAAAAUAUAGGGUUUCUCUCAAGUUUCUCUCAAGAAUAAGCUAAAGUUUUUCAAUUGGGGAUUCAUAUUCAAGAAUCUCUCCUUCAAUCUUUAUAGAAUCAAGAACUAAGGUAUGAACAAUGUUUAUUCAUGGAUUCCUUUCAUCCGUGAAGCCUAAGAAUCAAGUUUUAAAUCUUGUAUUGUGAAUAUUUUGUUGUGGGUUGAUUAUGUUCAUUUGAUUAUGAUUGUAUGAUUCCCAAGUUUGAAUCUUUAUGUGUUUUUCAUGAACCUAUGCUAGCAUGUGGUCUGAAACAUGUGAAAUUGAGUUGAAAUAGGAAUUUUUACUGUGGUAAUUUGAUGGUCAUGCCUAUUCCCUAAGUCAUGUAUCCUAGGUGUUUGAUAAAAUGCUUCAGAGAAUAGAAACUAUGCACUAAUACUUAAUUGUGUCCCAAAUGAUAAAUGCAUGCUAUACCCUAUGACCAAGAAUGACUUCCAUGAUAUUGUGUGCAUUAUGAAUGGUUGAGGGAAUGUCCAUCAGAUUAGGUUGAUGGAAAUAUGACAUGUCUAUAUGAAAUUCCAUCCACGUACAACAUUAUGAUAACCAUAUGCUUCAUGAAAUCCCUAACUUAUUGUAUUAUAAAUUAUUGAUAUUGGUCAUGUGUUCAAGAAGUAUCAAGUCUUUUUAGUUUCAUGCUAUCGAGUACUAGGGGUAAUUGUACCUGACAAUUAAGCUGUGUUCCUAGAGCCAGUGCCAUGUUUUCACGAUAUUCUCAAUCACGCCAUGAACAAUAGAAUUCAACCAGUCAUGUUACUCAGGAAAACUCAGUAAACUCAAUAUCAGUCCAAUCUCAUUCAGUAAUCUUAGUAAUCUUUGAAAUCUCAGUAGUCCAGUAAUUUUAGUGAUUUCAGUACUUAAUAAUCUCGAUAACCUCAGUAUUCCAAAAAAUCUCAGUAACUUCAGUACUCUCCAUCAGUCCUCAGAUCUCAGUAGCUUUCUAUUAGUCAACAUAACUUAGUGAACUCAGUUUAGCUUUGCUAAACAUUACCAUUAGUAUAGUUCAGUUCAGUAAUCCAUGAUAAGAGUCUAUUCAUAUGGGAGUAGGAAUUAGCACCAAGUGAACCCAAAGAUGGGAACACACACUGUCAGAUGAGGGUGUGAUUCUUUGAAGUCAUCCUUGCAUUCCAGAACUAUAUAGCCAGCAUAGGUUGAGACAUCAAAACUGUCAGAUAAGGGGUGAUGAGAUGGAUAAGCACUGUCUGAUGAAGGCCCUACCUUUCUCCUUUAGGGACACUGUUAGAUGAGGGUCACUCAUAUCUUGUCCUUACCAGUGGUACGAUAUUGACACCCUUCCUAUUGGGGUUACAGAUUAGACCCUAACUCAGCCGUAAUGGUGUAUUAGGGGCAUGCCAUUUAGAUAACUACUUCCCACAUUCUCAGUUACAGAUCCAGUCACAGUAAUAGAACUUUGUUCAAUUCUAUAAAAAUCCAGGACUGUCAGAUACAGUCAACUCAGUACAGUUGGAGCUCAGCCUGUUCCAUCAGUACCAGGACUGUCAGAUACAGUCUCUUAGGUUAUUAGUAUUUAGACUCAGUAAUCAUGUUAUCACAAACUCAGUUAUUAGUAUAUUAAAUGAUACAAAAUUCAUGUUAUCAUUAUUCAGUCUCAGGACAAUCAGAUAGAGUCAAUCUGACCAUGUCUUCAUAACCAGAACUAUCAGAAAAAAUCAUUCCUUUAUAUAUAAUAUGACAUCAGUUCCUCAGUACUUAAUAGACUCAAUCAUUCUGUAUCCCAGUAUUAGUACUUAGAUAUCAGUAAAUUUAUGUUAUCAGAAUUCAUGAGUCAACAUUCUCAUAAUCAAAGUUACAGUUACGUAUUCAUGCAUAUAUUCUCUCGUUCAUAUUAUACAGUCAGUUAUUAUUGUUCAUACAUAUGAACUCUUGUAUUUAGCCUACCUCACUUGCAUACCAGUAUAUUCAAUGUACUGACACAUUUGCUCUAUGGUGUUUUAUACAAUAGGUUUAGAAGCACGAGCUCCCGAGUAUCCUUAGUAGAUCAGAUGUUCAGCAUCUAGACUAGCAGUGAGUCCUCAUUAUUUGAAGAGAACAUGAUUAUUUUAUUACUUUAUUAAUUUAGUAGUUCAAAUUUAGUUAGGUACAUGUCCCAUCCACUCAACAAUUUUUAGACAAUUUAGAGGCUUUCAGACUACAACAUCUUUUUAGACAGUUUAUUUUUGUUUUUGGGUAUUUCUAUACCCCAUUUCAGAGAUUGUUCUAUAUUCAGUAUUAGUUCAGUUUUGAACCUUAUAGCCUUACAUCUUAUAUUCCACAUAUUUAUAGUAUAUUAUUCAGUGCUCAGUUACAGAUAUCAGUCAUGGGUUAGCUUAUGGUCCUUUGGAGUUAUGAGUACCGUGUAACAUUCUGGGUACCAGAUUUGGGGCAUUAAAAAUACCCUUUUUACACAUAAAAUAACACUUCUCCCAAUUUAACACAAGAUUUGUUUCAACACAAUGUUUGAGGAAUUUACUCAAGUUGUUGAGGAAUGAUUCAAAUGAUUCACUAACAAUGGAUAAGUAUUCCAUACAGAAUUCCAUGGUAUCCUCCAUCAUAUCUAAAAAUUUUUAAAACAUGCACCAUUGAAAUGUGGCAAGUGCAUUGCAUAGCCCAAUGGUAAUGCGCGUCAAAGUAAAGUUACCAUAAAGGCAUGUGAAAGUUUCUUUUUAUUGAAUCCUCGGGCACAAAACAAAUUUUAUUACAACUAGAAUAUCAAUCUAUAAUAUAAUAACACCGAUGCCCCACCAAUCGAGAAAGCAUUAGCAAAGGGAAAUGUCCCUUUUCCAUCUGAGAAUUCAAUUUUUAAUAAUCCAAGCAAACUCUCUAACCCAUUAAAGGAUAGAUAGGUAUAAAAUCAUUGUUCGUAUUUGGGACAACCAUGAUACCAACUUUCUUAUGAGUACAUUGAACCAUAGUAAUCCAUGUGAUAUCAAAAAUAGGGUGUAUGACACCAAUAUCUAACAACUUUAUUUCCUUCUUGACCACCGUUUGCAUUAAACAGUUUAUCCUGCUUUGGUGCUCUAUUCUAGGAACAUUAUCGAUCUCUAAUUUUAUUUUGUGGGUGCAAAUAAAAGAUAAAAUCCCAAUGAUGUUCCCUAUAGACCCCCUAUAUCUCGAAUAAACUCUAUCACGAUUGAUUUCAUGGCCUCCACUUUCAAGGUAUUAGAUAUUCUACAACAAUGAUGGGUAAAGUGUUACUCUUACCCAAAAAGAUAUAACUAUGAUACGGAGGCAACGACUUAAGCUCAAGUUGAGGUUGUUCAAUAGUAGAGGGUUUUGCAGGAGAAUUUUCUUAAUUUUUCAAGUAAAGGUCUAGUAGGUAAGGAUUUUUAGUAUAAGAGUCAUCAUCCAUCAAGAUGAAAUUAAUUCAUUAUAUUCCUUGAUUUCUGAUCCCCUAAAUUUCCAUAAGACACCCACCAAAGGGACACUCACGAAAAAUACUUCCAUCGCAUUAACUACUUUAUCAUCAAUCACAUCGAUUAAAGAGAAAACUUGUAAAUACAUAGGUUGAUUCAUGGAUUUGAACAACUUAAAUGACACCUCUUUGUUGUUUACAAAAAAAUUUAAUACACAACAAUAAACAUCAUCUAAUGCCCAUUCGGUAGUAAAGAAUGGCCAACCAAGAAUAAUUAGGACCUAAUGGUAAAGUUUGAAAUCCAAGAUCAUAAAGUCAGCCAAAUAAAUAAAAUAAUCCACCUUCCUUAGAACAUCAUACAAUUCCACAAUGGACUUCUCUAUAGAACGGUCUGUCAUUAGAAUCUUCAUAGUAGUGAUCUUUAGAGCACCCAAGUCUAACUUUCAAAACACGACCAAUGACAGCAAAGUAAAACUCAUCCCAAGGUCACAUAAUGCUUUUUCAAGAUCUUACAACCCAAUGGUAUGUGGGAUGGUAAAUGCCCUGAUCCUCUUUCUUCAUAACCAUUGUUCUAGUCAUUAUUGCACUAUAAUUAUUCAUCACAUCAGUCGUUUCAAAAUCCAUGACUCACUUCUUUAUAAAUAAGUCCUUCAGGAAUUUAGCAUAUCCAAUCACCUCUUAUAAGGCUUCUAACAAUUGCAUGUUUAUUUAUGGUUUGAUAAAUUUGGGAGGAAAAUCUUAAACAUUGUAUCAUCUUCCUUCUUCUUAAGUUAUUGCGGGAAUGAAAUAGGGAUUUUGAUUUGUAGAUUUGAGAUAGCUUGGUAUUCCUCCUAUUUCUAAACACUAUUUUCAACUGUUUAUGGAAUCUCUUUGCCUUUAACCCUCUCUUCAAAUAAUCUUGGAUUUUCUACACUUGGACCAUAUGGAAUAGUGACAUCUUCACUUGACUUAUUGAGAUGCUUUCACUUUCUAUUAUUUUGGACAUUAACUUCCCUCUUAUUAGGGUCUUUAUUAUGAUGUACAACAUAUUUACAAGGAUUCCUACCACUUUUAAUAACAAAUGCCAUGACAUGAGCAUAAUUCUUCGGGUUCAAUACUAUAUCACUAGAAGGCCAACUUUUUGCCUUGUAUUAAAAUGAGAAGAAAUUUUGCCCAAUUGUGUUUUAAUUUUCUUGAUCGAGGUAAGGUAAUGUGACCAUUUGAGUUAGUUGUGAAAAUUCACCUUUUUUUCUCAUUGCAUAUUAUAAUUUAAUUCGACCCCUAUAAUAAUCUGAGCAAGCACAUUUUUGCUCUUAUAGUUCUUUGGGUCUAUGGAGGUUAAUUCUUUAACCUUGGAAUGAUCAUGUAGAGGAACAUAUCUAUCAUUAUUAAGAUCUUUGUCUCUUUAAUUAUUAUAUCUAUCUCUUUCUUGAUCCAUCCAAUAAGUAUCACAAUGAAAGUCCUUUAAAUUAUGGUAUUUGUAAUAAUUGUUCCUUACCUACAAACCUUAUUUCCUGUCUUCCUUUGAUAGAUUGAUAGGGAAACAUGACAAUAGUUUUGACAUGAACCAAAUUUCUUCAUCAAGUACCUCUGUAUCAUCAUCUUUGUACACUUUUGUUCCUUUAGAAGCAAUAACAUUGCAAGCUUUUAGAGUUGAACCUAUUACAUGCUUUAUGAGGAGGUCCAAUUGUGUCAUUACUUUAGUCAUAUUCUCUUAUAUCUCCUUAUAGUUAUGUUUUAUUUCUUGGGCCAAAUAAUUUUCUUAGAAAGCCCUCACAGACACCUUGAUAUCUCAUGUGUGCCAUGCUUGAUUUUGUUUUAUCAAUUGUUUCAAUAAAUCUAAAGCAACUCCAUAAGUUUGUUUAGUUAUGGAUCCUCCGACCAUGUUAUCCUUUACCAUCUUGUUAAAGUUAUCUAGUUCUCUAUACAAUAUUUGAAGAAGAAUCUUUCCUGAAACCUUAUAAUUUUGGCAUUGCAACUAGUUUCGAUUGAACCUUUGUCAAGCUUCAUGCAAUGGAUAAACACUCAAUUGCCAGAAGCUUAUGGUUUUAUCCCUUAAUUGGUAUAGAUGGGAUAGUGGAAGGAACCUAUUAGAAACACUUCUAUCAACUCAUUGAACCAACAGGAAAUCCUCACAACCCUAAUACCAUAUCACCAAUUAAUGAGAAUGGAAUAAGUUUAAAUUAGAUAGAUUAUUGGGAGAUAUGAACAAUGUCAAAUAGCAGACACACAUCUAUAAAAUUCUUCAAAUGAUGGUUAGAAUUAUUGUACUCUUGACCACUAAAGAGAACCUUCAUUUAAAGUAAGUGUAGUAUCACACUAGUGAAAUGAAACAAUCCAUUACCUUUAGCGAUUUUAAUAUGGAUUGCACUUGCCUUUCUUAUAUCCCCUAUGUGAUAUUCAGCCUCCAGAUGUCCAUCGAAGUUAGCCCCAUCCACCAUGAUGACCUAUCAUGCUGUGAAGACAUAGAUUAUCACCAAAUUAAGAAAAAAAUAACAAAUAAAUUUAAAUUAUCCUACGUCUAACAAAACAAACUUAUAACCCUAAAAAUAAUUAACCCAAUGUUUCAUUCCCCAACAAUGUUAUAAUUUUAUAUAACACUGAAAUAUGAAUGCACACAAUGUAUAGCAAUAUGUUACCUAACUAAGGAGUCAAGGUUGAAUCCAUAGGAAAUAAGAGUAAUAACUUCAUUCUCAAGUGUCACAAGAAGAUAUAAGCAAACAUGCAAUGUUCAAAUAAAAUAAUAAAGUAAAAAAUGUAAGAGUUUGUCCAAAUAAUUUUUAUUGUGAAUUAAAUAUUUCAAUGUUGGGUUGUCAAAACAAGUAAUAUAAGAAUUGUAAUUUGCGGACUAAAGCACUUGGGGUUAUUCCUUCUUGAGAAAGAUUAUAUGAAUUUGUAAGUGAAAAAACAGCUAAGAUUUUAUUGCUAGUUAUGAUUAGGCGUGAUUUUAGUAAUUAGUUGUAUUUCUCAAUCCAUAAUAGGAUUUCACGUUGUCUUUUAUUGAACCCUCAAGUGUGUACAUGAUAAAUUGCAAAUUUGUCGACCUAUUAGCACUUCUUAAGCUUGAAUUAUCAUUUAUUUGCAUUGAUUUGAUGUAAUUCUUGUGUUAUAAUUCUCAUUUAUAUAGGUAAAGGUUGAAACUAAAGCUUAUCAAGUCAUAUGAGUCUAUUAGAGUUCAAAAAUAGAAGAAAAUGAGCUUAAAAUUUCCUUUGGGAAAGUUGGAAGCCACUUGAGGACGUAAAUGAUUGACCUUCACAAGAAAAUGGCUCAAUUAGAACAACCAAUGUCAUCUAUGCAGGUGACCUACAUGCACAGGUCAACCAUAUUUGUUGGAACCUACGGUACUAGGUCACCAGUGUAGCGGUAGUUUCAUAAUUUCUAUAAAACAAGAAUUUUUUGGCUUAAAAUUGGGUUUUAGCAGUAGACCUCGAUUCUUGUACUUUUUGAAGCUAGAAACAUUAGAGUGAGUUUCUAAAUGUAAAAUUAGUUACUUAUUCAUAGGUUUUAUUAAAUUUUGAUCUUAAUUAUUGUGUUACUUUGUGCUUCAAUGGAACAAUAGGCUGAGAAUUAGGAUAAUUCUCUUUUUUCUCUCUCUAUUAGUAGCUAAUUUCCUUGCUUGGGGUUAUUCUUGAAUAAGUUAUUAUUAUUAUAUGGGUGUUGUUUAUUAAUCCACAUAAUUAGCUAAUUUACGUGGGUUUUACUCCUAUUUCAUAAUUUAAUUGAGAACUAGAGGUUGCAAAGUCUAGUUACCCAUGAACCCUUAUAAUCCUGUAUAAAAGGAAAGAGGGUAAGGAAUAGGUGUAAAUAUUAACUUGAUUUACAUUAGCUAAUCGUAACUCUUAGAUGUAAGGAUACUAAAUGAGGCCAUAGAUUAAACAAAUAGCUACGCUAAUGAGGUGUUGGAAAGAACCCAUUUGUGCAAUUUUAGUGUUUGAUUCACAAAUUGACAUUAAAUUCCUGUUAUCUAGCCUACCCAUGACUUUUAACUAAACUUGGACAAAUAUUAAAUUAUUGAUGCAUGAACCCACACUCAGUAAAGCAUAACCCCAAGUAUUAUUGCACAUAUAGUUUAACUGUAGUCAUUUUUAACUUCGAAAUUGCAUUAUCACCAUGAUAAAAUUUCAUUAUCACUAUGAUAAAAUAAACGCCCAAUUUUACUUUCUUGUUUGAUUUACACUAAAUUAUGAGCCAAUUUUUAGUUUCUUCUAACACUUAAAUUGAAAUACAUGUUCUCAUUCCUUGAAGAGUCGACCCUAAUCUUGUUGGGUUAACAAUAUAGAUGACGAUUGUUUAUACUUUAGAAGAGUAAUUUGACCGUCAUAAAAUUUUGGCAUUGUUUCCAAGGAGUGAAACAUACCUUCGAGGUGUAAUUUAAGAGUAAAAAUUUUUUAGCAUUAUUACUGGGUGUAAAAGAUUGUUUUCAUUAUUGUAUUGCUACUAGUCAUAUUGAGUUAGCCGUAGUGUUUAUUUUACAUUAUUUAUAGUUUUUAUUAGUUCUUAGGUGAUGAUUAUUGUUUACACACCAGCAUGAGCCAACAUGGUAGCAAUACUAGUACUUUUAAAGGGCAUCUCGAGGAUGAUAAUCACCUCGGAGAUGCUCCUGAGGGUAGUCCCAUUCAAAUACCACCAGUGGACAGAAAUAGAGCAUUUUAUAUUACUACCAUGAUGUUUUAUUUUGUAUAAAAAAAGUAUUUUUUGGGAGUAAACCCCAUGAGGAUGGAAAUCUACACUUACAGAAUUUAAUUGAUGUGUUACUUCCCUUUGAUAUCACCCAUAUAUCUCAAGAAUCAAUAAGAUUGUGUCCUUUUCAAUUCUUAACGAUAAACAAAUAGAUAUGCUUAUGGUUGCAGGAGUUGUCCCCAGGAUCUAUCACAUUAUGCGUUGAAUUAAUGGAACCAUUCUUUGAUCGGUUCUCUCCUUUUUCAUGGAUAUUGUAACAAAGGGAUGAAACCAUUAACUUUGGAAACCUUAAUGGCGAACCAUUAGAUAUGGGUUGGAAAUGAUUUACCAAGAAGCUAAUGUAAUGACCAAAUCAUGAGGCCCGGGGGAAAAUACUUAUUCAAAUAUUCUAUAAGGAAUUGGACCAAUUGAAUAAGAUGGUAGCCAAUAAUGUGGUUAGAGGGUAUGUUAUAAGCUAAUUUUAUGGUGUACGGAGGAUUUUCAAGAUCAAGUGACCAAGCAAAUUCGAUAUUGGCAUACAAGAGAUAUUGAGGUAACCAGGGGGCUUCUCUCCUCAUUAUUGAUAAGUCAAUAACAAAGGAAAAUGAUUAAGAAUAAGAUGAUAAUAAGGCUAAAGUGAUGACUCAAUAAGAUCCUUUUACCAAGCAUGUAAUGGGGGCUCCUCCAAAGGAAGUCAAUGUUGUUUCUUGUAAGAGUUUUAAGGCCUAUGAUGACGAUGAAGCAGAAUCUCUUUAUGAGAAAAUUUAUUUCUUGUCAAACAAAUAGGGGGUCCUAUCCUACCUAUCUAAGGUAAGGUGGGAAUCAAAGUUUGAAGGAAAAGGAUUAUGAAUAGAAGGACAGAGAAUGGGAAGACCAUGAUUAAGAUAGAGAUUGGCUUAAUAAAGACCAUGAAUGGUAGGUUCCUCAACAUGAUAAGGCCAUGGGUAAAGAGCCAAGCUCCAUUGAUCUAGAGAAUUUCAUGUAUGAAUAUGUCCUUGCUCAUAUCUUAAUGAAUGUUGAAGGAAGUGAUAUGAUGUUGAGAGAGAUGACAAGUGAUUUUUCACAACCUAAUCAAAUGGUUACCUCCCAUCUGGC